GUGUGCUGCUGGAGGACUAAGGAGUACAAGUGUUAUCAGACACCAGGAGGAAAGUCCUGUGGCAAAGGAGCAUUACGCAGCAGAGAAUGGCGCCACAGCAGUAUUCCUACAUGGCAAAAUCCUGGGCUCUACUGCCGAGCACACGAGUUGACAAAGGGAACAAUAGGAGGGAAGAGUUCUAAACUGAGCUCUCAACAGAGUGCUAGUUCUGGCACAGAAGUGUGAACAACAGUGCACAUCAAAGUGACGCACUAUAACUCACCUGCACAGACAUCGUUGGCAUGAACUAAAAAGUGUGGACAAUCCUAAGGAAAAUUCAUAUUUGUGACUCUGGAAGAUAAGUUAUAAUUACAAAUGCAUUUGAGAUAAUUGUACUAUUGCAAAAUUUUUGAAAAAUAAAUUGGUUUAUAAAGUACAAAUGUUAACCCAAAUAUAAAAGGUAUUGUCAGUAAAAAAAAAACCCACCUCUUUUAAUGAAAGUGGAUCAAGUCUUUGAUCUGAAGAACAAUAACUCAUAAAAAGCAAACAUUUUCCCAUCUUCCUCCAGUGUUUGCUCAAGUAAUUAAUUAAGUUAACUGUCAAAGUCUGGAAAUCUGGUUAACAACUCACAUUUGUUGGAAACAAUUAGCUCUUUAAUGUAAAGUGAGUAGACAGACAGAUUAAAUAUGCCUCAAUCCUGGCCAUGAGGGACCACCUCUAGGGACUUGUUUACACUAGGCCCUGCUCCACACUACAAACUUAUCACAGUAUAACUGUGUUGCUCAGGAAAAUCCUCACCUCUGAGUGACGCAGUUACACCAACCUAAUUCCCAAUGUAGACAGCACUAUGUCGACAGGAGAGGAGGGCUUCUCCCACCAACGUAGCUACUGCCUCUUUGGGAUCUGGAGUACCUAGGCCAACAGGAGAAGCUCUCCCAUCAGCAAAGGUAGCAUCUUCACUAAGUGCUACAGUAGCACUCUUAUUGUGGACAAGCCCAAGGAAAAUGACCAAUUGCUUCCAACAUGUAACUUUAAAUAGUGCAAAUGAAGUGAAGUGCUGUACAUGUGUUACUCCUUUUUGACCCAAGCAGUUAGCUAAAACAAUCAGGG